UACGAAGGGGGCUAGCGUUGCUCGGAAUUACUGGGCGUAAAGGGAGCGUAGGCGGAUAGUUCAGUCAGAGGUGAAAGCCCAGGGCUCAACCUUGGAACUGCCUUUGAUACUGGCUAUCUUGAGUUUGGGAGAGGUGUGUGGAACUCCGAGUGUAGAGGUGAAAUUCGUAGAUAUUCGGAAGAACACCAGUGGCGAAGGCGGCUCACUGGCCCAUUACUGACGCUGAGGCACGAAAGCGUGGGGAGCAAACAGG
rnacentral:rRNA from 1 species